rnacentral:rRNA from 1 species
CAGCCGCCGCGGUAAAACCAGCACCUCAAGUGGUCAGGAUGAUUAUUGGGCCUAAAGCAUCCGUAGCCGGCUCUGUAAGUUUUCGGUUAAAUCUGUACGCUCAACGUACAGGCUGCCGGGAAUACUGCAGAGCUAGGGAGUGGGAGAGGUAGACGGUACUCGGUAGGAAGUGGUAAAAUGCUUUGAUCUAUCGAUGACCACCUGUGGCGAAGGCGGUCUACUAGAACACGUCCGACGGUGAGGGAUGAAAGCUGGGGGAGCAAACCGGAUUAGAUACCCGGGUAGUCCCAGCUGUAAACUAUGCAAACUCAGUGUUGCAUUGGCUUGUGGCCAAUGCGGUGCUGCAGGGAAGCCGUUAAGUUUGCCGCCUGGGAAGUACGUACGCAAGUAUGAAACUUAAAGGAAUUGGCGGGGGAGCAC